GCAACAUAAAAAGUAAAGGGUCCAGCAUCACAGAAAUCAAAUUUACCUCUAAUUCAAUGAUCCUUACAAUACCAAAGCCAUGGCAAGAGUUCCACAGUGGUUUGCGAUAUGGAAGGAGUUCAGAAGCAAAGCUGGAACAGCCCGUUCUUCACGUUGUGUCCCGUGGUAGUGCCUACAGAGGCAGGCAGCACAAAUCCAGUUAGUGAUGGCUCUGGUCUUGAGGGUGCCGUCUGCAUCCAGAUAACGCCAGCUGGAUCAGCUAGAGCCUGCUGACUCUGCAAGCUCCAUUUUGCUUUGUGCAUGGAGACAGGUGAGGGUUGGUAGCUGUUCAGGUAGAAGAGCUCCUGGUGAUGGAGGGGACACAGUGCCAGGGGCCCUGGGACCCCAGCUCUCAAGACUUCCCUUCCCCCACACCUCAUCUUCCUCGAGACACCUUUAAGGCACUGGAACAAGUCCGUCUGUGGUACUCUCCUGAUAUAAGAAGCUAUGACAGUCACGGUGUGAGCCUUGGCUCUGCGGUGGUGAGCAAGUAGCUUUGCCUUCCUUAAGGCCUUUUUCUUGUUUCAGAAGCAAGCAAUUUGUGCUUUCCAGUGCUGGUGUUAGCUCCAUCCUUCUCUCAUCGUGAGGUUGUCUCUCAUCAGCAUCCAAAAGGGCUAGAAAGAGUUAAAGCUUCCUAAAGUAGCCAACAUGGAAGAGCUGCCUCUGGCCAUUCCCUAACUAAUUCUCCCUAUGGCAAUGGCCUUCUCUGCUAGCCUCUCUUUCUGUCUUAAUGAAUU